AUAAUGAGCCACUUCGGCAACUGACUAUUAAUCAUGGUCGCUGGUUCGAGUCCAGCUCGGGGAGCCA
rnacentral:tRNA from 1 species